UUGAACGCUGGCGGCAGGCCUAACACAUGCAAGUCGAGCGCGAAAGGUUUUCGGACUAAGUAAAGCGGCGGACGGGUGAGUAACGCGUGGGAAUCUGCCCAGUAGUGGGGGACAACAGUCGGAAACGACUGCUAAUACCGCAUACGCCCUACGGGGGAAAGGGGGGGGAUCUUCGGACCUCUCGCUAUUGGAUGAGCCCGCGUCGGAUUAGCUAGUUGGUAGGGUAAAGGCCUACCAAGGCUACGAUCCGUAACUGGUCUGAGAGGAUGAUCAGUCACACUGGAACUGAGACACGGUCCAGACUCCUACGGGAGGCAGCAGUGGGGAAUAUUGGACAAUGGGGGCAACCCUGAUCCAGCCAUGCCGCGUGUGUGAAGAAGGCCUUAGGGUUGUAAAGCACUUUCAGUGGGGAGAAAGGUUUGUCACCUAAUACGUGAUGAAAUUGAUGUUACCCACAGAAGAAGCACCGGCUAACUCCGUGCCAGCCGCCGCCGUAA
rnacentral:rRNA from 1 species